rnacentral:rRNA from 1 species
CGAUGAAGGAGGAGCUUGCUCCAUCCGGAUUUAUGUGUGCGAAUCGGGUGAUGUUAAUUACGUGAGCAAUGUGCCCUUUACUCUGGGAUAAGCGCUGGAAACGGCGUCUAAUACCGGAUACGACGAUCGGAGGCAUCUCCUGGUCGUGGAAAGAACUUCGGUCAAGGAUCAGCUCACGGCCUAUCAGCUAGUUGGUGAGGUAACGGCUCACCAAGGCGACGACGGGUAGCCGGCCUGAGAGGGUGACCGGCCACACUGGGACUGAGACACGGCCCAGACUCCUACGGGAGGCAGCAGUGGGGAAUAUUGCACAAUGGGCGCAAGCUGGAUGCAGCAACGCCGCGUGAGGGACGAAGGCCUUCGGGUUGUAAACUCUUUUAGCAGGGAAGAAGCGAAAGUGACGGUACCUGCAGAAAAAGCACCGGCUAACUACGUGCCAGCAGCCGCGGUAAUACGUAGGGUGCAAGCGUUGUCCGGAAUUAUUGGGCGUAAAGAGCUCGUAGGCGGUUUGUCACGUCUGCUGUGAAAACCCGAGGCUCAACCUCGGGCUUGCA